UUUCGUUUAUAUUUUCAUCAUAAAAAGGAGGAAGUCCUGUAAUCAUUUCGUAAAGUAGCACACCUAAAGUCCACCAGUCAACAACUUUUGUAUAACCAUGACCCAAAAGCAAUUCAGGAGCGAGGUAUUCAGGGGUGCCACAAAAAGUAUUCGUUCUAUCGGUUUUAGCCAUGUUUAGCUUACAAAGUCCAAAAUCACACAAAGCAAUAUGACCGGUGUAGUCUAAUAAUAUGUUUUCCGGUUUUAAGUCUCGAUAAAUAACGUUGAACUCAUGCAAACAUUCCAAAGCAACAAGUAGUUCAGCAAUGUAAAAUUUGGCACGAUAUGUAUCAAAACAGCCUUCUCUUUGUAAGUGAUGAAAUAACUCACCACCGUUAACAAAGGCCAGGACAAGAUACAGCUUACCGGGAGAUUGAAAGGAGAACUUUAAUGGAACAAUAAAAGGGUUAUUAACUUGAGCAAGUACUGUCC